rnacentral:misc_RNA from 1 species
GAUGAAGAACGUAGCGAAAUGCGAUAAGUAAUGUGAAUUGCAGAAUUCAGUGAAUCAUCGAAUCUUUGAACGCACAUUGCGCCCUUUGGCAUUCCGAAGGGCACACCUGUCCGAGCGCCGUCGCACAACUGAGGCGUAGCCUUGCGUUGGCGGGCGACUUGUGAGUAGCGAGUCGCCGCCCAAACGAGACGGCGCCGCGCCGCGGCCGACGAAGCACGAAAGCGGAAGUCGACGCGGAGGCGGUUGCCUGUAGGAAGACACAGCUUGGCCUCGGAUCAGGUGGGGAUACCCGCUGAACUUAAGCAUAUCAAUAAGCGGAGGA